CUGAUGCAGCCAUGCCGCGUGAAUGAUGAAGGCCUUAGGGUUGUAAAAUUCUUUCGCUAGGGAUGAUAAUGACAGUACCUAGUAAAGAAGCCCCGGCUAACUUCGUGCCAGCAGCCGCGGUAAUACGAAGGGGGCUAGCGUUGUUCGGAAUUACUGGGCGUAAAGCGCACGUAGGCGGACUUUUAAGUCAGAUGUGAAAUCCCGGGGCUCAACCUCGGAACUGCAUUUGAAACUGGAAGUCUAGAGACCAGGAGAGGUUAGCGGAAUACCGAGUGUAGAGGUGAAAUUCGUAGAUAUUCGGUGGAACACCAGUGGCGAAGGCGGCUAACUGGACUGGUACUGACGCUGAGGUGCGAAAGUGUGGGGAGCAAACAGGAUUAGAUACCCUGGUAGUCCACACCGUAAACGAUGAGAGCUAGUUGUUGGCAGGCAUGCCUGUCGGUGACGCAGCUAACGCAUUAAGCUCUCCGCCUGG
rnacentral:rRNA from 1 species